AUCAAAGCAACAGAGCCUCAUACACGAAAAUACAGGAGACCUUGUAACGCCCAUUUUUCUCUCCCCUACGGCACAGAACAUAUCAGAACACAUCGUUGGCAAUAACUAAAUGUGUCUCUUUUCAUAAGCCCCUGUGUCCCUGGCUGACCUUCCACCUAAAGGAAAGCCGGCUGCACGAGGGGAACCUCAACAGAACGCUUUCUAAAAUGAGCAGAGCAAUCGGAACUGAAACGAACUUCCCCUUCGUCCUUCACCCUCUUCGCUGGCCCUAAAACAGAACAAACCAACGGAAUGCAUGAAACGUACUACGACAUGUUUUCUUAAUAAAAGGCACAUGGGAAACCCAAGCCACCUCAACACUUUUCUCCAUUCUGCACUACGCUAUGCCCAGCCGAAUGGUUCGUGUUACAUUUUGUGAAUUUGCAAAAGUGAAGCUGCAGGCUGCUUACAGCUCGGCAGUCAGUCUUCCAUGUAUGUGCUCACGUAGCAAACUGGGGUCAAGUUAAGAGCCUUUCAAUUCCCUGUGAAUACUCCGUGAAGUUUCCAAAUGUUCCUUUUUAAGGAAAAACGUCCUCAGACUAACAUUCCCACAUUCGGUGAAAGCUGUUGAGCGUGUGUGCUUUCUGGCAGACGUUAUUCGGUGUGUACACAAACAUCGGAAAGUGCAAAUAAAUAACUCUUCUUGGGAAAUGGAAAAUGCUCGUGAAACUUCUCAAACCCAGGGUUUCUAGAGGUGGGGAAUGGCUAACAUUGUACUGCCCAAACCUACCUUCCUACCACAGAGAAUCGGUAGCUCUGUCUAUAAUUUGCUACUUUGACGUUGAACUUUCACUGUGACUGUGUCCCUCUAAACAAACCAGUUGGGGCCCAGGGGGAAUAAAAGGGUAGCUGCACUAUAAGAAGUUUCAAAUGACCACAGUUGUAGAACAUGUUGGGUUGUUUCAGUUUGGCUUCUGCAAACUAAACGUGUUAUUCAUUCCUCUCUUUGUUGUUUCCGAGAUGAAAGGAAUGCUACAGUUUUCUAAGAAAAUCUUUCUGCAUUUAAAAGAAAGUGAUUAUUGAAGUCUGCCAGUCAAUAUGAAUGCCGUUAAUAUGCCAAAUAACAUAUGCAUUGAUAAUGACAUGUUUUUAUCAAACAGCCUCUGAAGUUUCUUAAAGCUUCACUUUUAGAAAUGGAAGUCUUUUACAUAAGCCUAUUUUGGUAAACUUAGCAUGCAUUUUCAAUGCCUUUCAACAUCUGUCUUUUAUUAGCAGAGGUCCUGAUAUCCAGAUGACAGCAAAGUAUUCUGAGUGCCUGCAAAGAUAGAGCCUGCUCCUUAUUCCUGUCUUAAAUCAUAAUUUUACUGUGACAUCAGGUUCAUUUAGAAGCAACAUUUUUAUUUCCUCGGCAGACAGGCAGCUAUUCACUCUAAAAUGCAGGUUCUGUUUUCAUAAGUAUGUUCCUAAAACCAGUGGGCGUACACAAUUCAUAUUAAAUAAAAUCUUUUCUGACCUCUUAAAUGUAGUGCCAGAACAUGAGCAACUUAAAAGUUUAAAUAGUUUACUUUUUAAAGUCACCUAAUUAACAUUUUAUUAUUAGCAAAUUGAUACUGCGCGUUUCGGGCCAAUACACCCCGUUUAAAAAAUUAAAUAGUUUUUCCUAAUUAUGGUGCACUUUAAUUUCUACAUUUAACACCAUUCAAGUAACUGUUGAUCCUAAGAUUAUGUACUGGCCAAAAAAAACUGGGAUAAGCUUGUAGUGUCUUUGAGAUACAGGGAUCCAGCCUUUUAAAAAGCGCUCUCUCCACUCGCCCCUGCUUUGUCAGCUGAGCCAGAGGAAGCAAACUUUAAUCACUCACAGAGUUGCGGUCAAGGUUCACCCUCCAGCCCCGAGGAAACCACAAGUCACGAAGAGGAGAAGCGGGGUCUGUAGGACUAGGGAUCCUGUUCAAAAUCAGGUAUGAACCUGAAAUUGAAAUCUAGGACUUUAAGCCAGCCUUGAAGUAUGCCAGGGCUUUCCAACCCUGUGUCUGCCAUCCUCUGGGCUUGGAGACAUGAGCAUUCUUUCAUGGGGAGGGCAGUAAAUCAUUUCACAACCCAGCCCUCAGCUACUGACACAUGCAUCCUUUAAAAAUGCAUAGCACUUGGUCAAUUAAACAGAGGGCGAAACUCUCGUACGAUAGCACCAACAAAAGCUGUUCAAACAAAGCCUGGGAGGACGCUUUGCACGGCGGUUUUCUGCUCAGGCGCUCCAGCAGCCUGCAGAGGACCACCCCAUCCUUCAGAGACGCCUGCAGGAAGCCCUCCGGGUCCGAGAUGGUUUUCUUGGGCGACUCCAGCACCCCCAAGAUGCACAUGAACCUGCGGCGGCCGCCCGGCGCCGCCCCCGCCGCCGCCUCCCGGCUCCCAGCCGCUGCCGCCGAUGACAUCACCGAGAGGAGAAGAAAGACGCCGCGCUGGAGCGGCCCCGGGCCUCCCGGACCCCGACCC